UUGAGGAGUACGGUCGCAAGACUAAACUCAAAGGAAUUGACGGGGACCCGCACAGCGGUGGAGCAUGUGGUUUAAUUCGAUAAUCCGCGAAAAACCUUACCAGCUCUUGACAUGGAGGUUAGUCUUAUGAGAGUAAGAUGUCGGUUGGCCGGACCUCGCACAGGUGGUGCAUGGCUGUCGUCAGCUCGUGUCGUGAGAUUUUGGGUUAAGUCCUUUAACGGGCGCAACCCCUAUCUUUACUUGCUAACAAAUAAUGUUGAGAACUUUAGAGAGACUGCCAGUGAUAAACUGGAGGAAGGUGGGGAUGACGUCAAGUCAUCAUGCCCCUUAUGAGCUGGGCUACACAUGUGCUACAAUGGCGGCUACAAUAUGUUGCAAAGAGGUAACUCUGAGCCAAUCAUAAAAAGCCGUCUCAGUUCGGAUUGUUCUCUGCAACUCGAGAACAUGAAGUUGGAAUCGCUAGUAAUCGCUGAUCAGCACGCAGCGGUGAAUACGUUCACGGGUCUUGUACACACCGCCCGUCAAGCCAUGGGAAUUGGUUUCACCUAAAGAUAAUGAGCUAACUGUAAAGAGGCAGUUAUUUAAGGUGAGGCUGGUGACUGGGGUUAAGUCGUAACAAGGUAACCAAGGGCGAAUUCCAG
rnacentral:rRNA from 1 species